UGAGGAAUAUUGGUCAAUGGGGGAAACCCUGAACCAGCGACGCCGCGUGUGGGAUGAAGGGGCUUUGCCUUGUAAACCACUGUCGGAUGGGAAGAAAAGCGCUAUGAAGCGCUGGGACUGUACCAUCAAAGGAAGGAUCGGCCAACUACGUGCCAGCAGCCGCGGUAAUACGUAGGAUCCAAGCGUUGUCCGGAAUUACUGGGUGUAAAGGGUGCGCAGGCGGGCUUGUGCGUCAGAGGUUAAAUCCCACCGCUUAACGGUGGAACUGCCUUUGAUACGGCAAGUCUUGAAUGCGAGCGAGGUAGGUAGAAUUCCUGGUGUAGCGGUGAAAUGCGUAGAUAUCAGGAGGAAUACCAGUGGCGAAGGCGGCCUACUGGCUCGUUAUUGACGCUCAGGCACGAAAGCGUGGGUAGCAAACAGG
rnacentral:rRNA from 1 species